rnacentral:rRNA from 1 species
AUUGAACGCUGGCGGCAUGCCUUACACAUGCAAGUCGAACGGCAGCACGGGUGCUUGCCCCUGGUGGCGAGUGGCGAACGGGUGAGUAAUACAUCGGAACAUGUCCUGUAGUGGGGGAUAGCCCGGCGAAAGCCGGAUUAAUACCGCAUACGAUCUACGGAUGAAAGCGGGGGACCUUCGGGCCUCGCGCUAUAGGGUUGGCCGAUGGCUGAUUAGCUAGUUGGUGGGGUACAGGUCUACCAAGGCGACGAUCAGUAGCUGGUCUGAGAGGACGACCAGCCACACUGGGACUGAGACACGGCCCAGACUCCUACGGGAGGCAGCAGUGGGGAAUUUUGGACAAUGGGCGAAAGCCUGAUCCAGCAAUGCCGCGUGUGUGAAGAAGGCCUUCGGGUUGUAAAGCACUUUUGUCCGGAAAGAAAUCCUUGGCCCUAAUACGGUCGGGGGGAUGACGGUACCGGAAGAAUAAGCACCGGCUAACUACGUG